AAACUCGGGGGACUGCUGACUAUAACCAUUUCUCAAAACAGAGGAAGGUUGCGGCAAUAACAGGUCUGUGAUGCCCUCAGAUGUCCCGGGCUGCACACGUGCUACAAUGAGUGGCGCAAUGUGCUAAUGUUUAAGGGAUAAGAGUGUGGUCAGUAGAACGUCGGGAUUUCCCCUGACGUCUCCCCCGCACGAUUAUCAGCCUUCCCUUAACAGGGCGGGCAACCUUUUCAAAAUACUGGUUUGAUGUUAAAGUAUUGAGUCGUUUUUUUUGGAUGGUGGUUUGUUAACCAAUACCAUCCGGCAACUGCUCGCGAGUUUGUGGUUCUGGCGACUCAUGGUGGGGACCGACGUUUGUAAUUUUUUGUCGCGUGUUAACUAGGAAUGCCUUGUACU
rnacentral:rRNA from 1 species